rnacentral:rRNA from 1 species
UCAGUACGGGAGGCAGCAGUGAGGAAUAUUGGUCAAUGGGCGGAAGCCUGAACCAGCCAAGUAGCGUGCAGGAAGACGGCCCUAUGGGUUGUAAACUGCUUUUACAGGGGAAUAAAGUGAUUCACGUGUGUUUCAUUGCAUGUACCCUGCGAAUAAGGACCGGCUAAUUCCGUGCCAGCAGCCGCGGUAAUCUGA